GGAGAGAUGGCUGAGCGGUUAAAAGCGUUAGAUUGUAAAUCUAUUGGGAUUCCCAUCGUAAGUUCAAAUCUUACUCUCUUCA
rnacentral:tRNA from 1 species